rnacentral:lncRNA from 1 species
AAAUCAGAAAUUAAAAUAUAUAAAUAUAGCAUGAACUACAUGUUGAUCAUAUCAACAUAUUUUUAUACCACAUCUAAUGUAUGUAUUAAAUAAUAGAUCAGAUCUAUUACCUUGCAAGUUAGAUGUUCUAACCUUAUUGAUCUGGGCUUGAGGAUGAUGUUGCAAGCCGCACACGCAUCCGGCCUCUAGGAGUCGUCCACACGAGCCCACGAAUCUCGAUCAGAAGUCCUGCUUCAGGAAAUCAGCACAGUAUGCUAGUACUGCGCUGAUCCUUCUUUGGUGGUUGAUCAGGUGCCUCCUUCUUCUUGAUUUGGACUCUUCAAAAGAUGAAAAGUAGAAGGAGGAGUUUCAGAUCUGAGACACUCUUAGGAAACUCAAGAUGGAGGGAGGAAAGAUAUGAAAACAAAAACCCUAGAAGAAGACCCUCUUCUUCUUCACAUUUUUCUCUCUAGACACCCAAACUUGCGUCUUUUAUAUCUCCAUGACCCAAAGGUAUUUCUCUUUGAUUUUUGGAUGGCACAAAGGUCUCUCAAAUAUCUAUCUCCCCCUAAAAGUUCAUGAAGAAACUCAUCUUAUAUAGAGAGAUAUGAUAGAGUCCUUGUCUAGGUCAAACACCUAGUCAAGGCUUAUCCAAACAUGGCAAGUUAAGGGACGCCCAAC